rnacentral:ncRNA from 1 species
UCGCAGGAUAAAAACGCAACGUGGGCUGAGUCUUUGGUCCGCCAGAGCUGGUAGGUAGCCCAGCCGUCUGCGCCCGCGCGGCGCAGGUAAGUAACCCUCCCCUCCGGGUCGUCCGUUCCUGCGGAAUUU